rnacentral:misc_RNA from 1 species
GUAACGGCGAGUGAAGCGGCAACAGCUCAAAUUUGAAAUCUGGCUCCUUCGGGGUCCGAGUUGUAAUUUGCAGAGGAUGCGUCGGGUACGGGUCCCUACCGAGUUCCCUGGAACGGGACGCCAUAGAGGGUGAGAGCCCCGUCUGGUAGGAUACCCAGCCCAUGUGACGCUCCCUCGACGAGUCGAGUAGUUUGGGAAUGCUGCUCUAACGGGAGGUAUACUCCUUCCAAAGCUAAAUACCGGCUGGAGACCGAUAGCGCACAAGUAGAGUGAUCGAAAGAUGAAAAGCACUUUGAAAAGAGAGUCAAACAGCACGUGAAAUUGUUAAAAGGGAAGCACUCGCUACCAGACUUGGGUUUGGCGGUUCAACCGGGGCCACGCCCCGGGGCAUUCCGCCAGCUCAGGCCAGCAUCAGCUUUCCGUCGGGGGCAAAGACGUCGGGAAUGUGGCUCCCCCUCGGGGGAGUGUUAUAGCCCGGCGUGUCAUACCCUUCGGGGGGCUGAGGUACGCGCUUCUGCAAGGAUGCUGGCGUAAUGGUAGCUAGUGACCCGUCUUGAAACACGGACCAAGGAGUCAACCUUAUGUGCGAGUGCCCGGGCAUAAAACCCCAGCGCGGAAUGAAAGUGAACGUAGGUGAGAGCUUCGGCGCAUCACCGACCGAUCCUGAUGUCCUCGGACGGAUUUGAGUGAGAGCAUAUAGGGUUGGACCCGAAAGAAGAUGAACUAUGCGUGUGUAGGGUGAAGCCAGAGGAAACUCUGGUGGAGGCUCGCAGCGGUUCUGACGUGCAAAUCG